AGUCAGUGAGUGGGGGGAGAGGAUGCUGAGUCAGUGAGGGGGGGGGAAUGCAGGCCGAGUCAGUGAGUGGGGGGAAAGCAGACCGAGUCAGUGAGUGGGGGGAGAGGAUGCUGAGUCAGUGAGAGGGGGGAGAGGAUAGAGUCAGUAAGUGGGAGGAAAGCAGACCGAGUCAGAUAGAGGGGGAAGAGGAUGCCGAGUCAGUGAGUUGGGGGGGGGGGGGAUGCCAAGUCGGUGAGUGGAAGGAAAGGACGCUGAGUCAGUAAGAGGGGGGCUUUCUCACUUUGCAUAUAUUUCUUAAAAUGUAUCAUGUUGUAAUACUAAGUAUUUCUGACUAACACAGAACCCUUUUUUAAAAAAAUGAACACGAUUCCUUUUUGUUUUUUUGGAAAAUGCAUAAUUUCAAACACAUUAAAAUAUAUAAGUAACACUAUUCCCAAAAUUUGAAUGAUUAUUAAAAAAUGCAACCUAUUAAAAUACUGUGACUGUCAACGUCAUUCUGUGUUCACUUCAGCGCCGCCGUGUGGAUGUUAGCUUACCUGAAAUGGAGCAGUUUCUCACAUCAACAUCAAGUUACAUCAACCUGCUAAACUCAAUCGAAAACAUUUUUUCUGACCGCAAAACAAUUUUUAUAUACGGAUUAUCGAUGACUACGACAUAGAUUUAACAUAAAACGCGAAAUGAACCUUGAACGACGAGCCGGAUUGCCAAACUAGUUGAUGCUUCAAUCGGAGUGUAUUAUUUGUCUAUAUAAAGUUUAAAAUUUUAAAGUGUACAACAUUAAAAACAUACAUUUUUCAAUUGCCUGGUUUGCUUUAUCACGAUUGUACCUUUUAGCGUCUCUAUACCCUUACGGUAUUUAAAUAUUUAACUGGGAGAUAACAAAUCAGUACGUUCAAAGUGUGUUUGGUUUUUGAUAACGAAAACUCAACGGUAAUUGCCGUUUUCACAUUAGUUGGGAAAGCGUGUUAGUGACUUGUGGCUAAAAGAUAGAUUGAGCUAAUGGAGUGGUAUAAUGUACUAUUGCAAGUUAAAACGGCGCCACCAGAUCAUUAAAAAUAUUCCCGAUAUAACUGGCAGUAAAUUUAAUCCUGCGAUAUCAAGUCUAAAAGCGCAAAUGAGAAGAAGUCUUUUAUAAUUUAAUAAUCAAGGAACUGUGGGCCUAUUCCCGGGUGAUUCCAAUAAUGAGAUUUAAAUCCUUACCUACAAAAAAGCAAAUGCAUAUCUAUAUAAGGGGGAGGUGCCUUUAAUAAUAAAUCGCGGGUGGGACUGCCACAGCUAGUGAUUGCUGGAGUACUUUCACUUUCUACGUUAAAUACUAGUAGAAGGCAGUCAGAAAGUAGGACGUUGCGAUAGCAAUUAUAAAAGAGGGGGGAUUCUUUCAGUUAAAAUCAGUUUAUACUGUAGUGCAUAGUGAGAUAAUGGUCUGGUGCACUUUUUCCUUUUAGAGCUUUUGAAGUCCAUAAUGAAAGUGAAGGUGAUCUAAAGGAUUGGAAAGUACCAAAUGUACCGGGGAGCUAAUUUCGGCUUUAGAAUUUAACAGGAGCUCAUGCAGUGUCGUCUGGAGGGAAAGCAAAUAUUAAAUACCAUUUCAGAAACGCCUGGAAUAGUAAAGCAGACAGGAGACUGACUAGGUGAAUAAGCAAUUCGCGGCCAAAAAAAUGUCUAUAUAUACUUAUAUAUGUAUAUAAAAGAAAUGGAGAGUUGUAUCCUCUGGGUAAGAUAAAGGAUGCAAUUAUCAGUACUACUGCUCUUGUCUGCUUUGCUUGUCCAAGGAAAAGGGUGUGAUGAAAUUUUACAAGAAAGUAUCAAAAAUCAACUCAUUUUUAUCGACGAGAAGGGUCCUGAUGGCUUUCGUGAAGUUUUCCCAAAAGACUACGAAAUAUCUCAUCCUUAUCAUGAUUCCCUAUUGUGUGACAAUGACCCGUGCUGUGUCUUCGAAGCUGCUGCAGUUCUCUCACAUUCCUGGUUGCAGCUUCUUCUGAAUCUGUGGAGACAACAUUACAGAUACCCCUUCAUCAGAGAGCUGAAAAGAAAUCUAGACCAGAUUUCAAAUCAG